UUUUCGGAUGAUGAUCUAGUUUAUACAUCCGUUCUUCUGAAAUUCUCAAUGAGGAAGAACCACUGACCUGAAUUGAGGAGAC